rnacentral:rRNA from 1 species
GUGGGGAAUAUUGCGCAAUGGGCGAAAGCCUGACGCAGCGACGCCGCGUGGGGGAUGACGCUUUUCGGAGUGUAAACCCCUUUCGAUCGGGACGAAUGCCUCGCAAGAGGAGUGACGGUACCGGUAGAAGAAGCCCCGGCUAACUACGUGCCAGCAGCCGCGGUAAUACGUAGGGGGCCAGCGUUGCUCGGAAUAACUGGGCGUAAAGGGUUCGUAGGCGGUGCGGCAAGUUGGGAGUGAAAUCUCUGGGCUUAACCCAGAGACUGCUUUCAAAACUGCCGUGCUAGAGUGCGGGAGAGGCCAGUGGAAUUGCAGGUGUAGCGGUGAAAUGCGUAGAUAUCUGCAGGAACACCCGUGGCGAAGGCGGCUGGCUGGACCGCAACUGACGCUGAGGAACGAAAGCUAGGGGAGCAAACAGGAUUAGAAACCCGAGUAGUCC